GACGAACGCUGGCGGCGUGCUUAACACAUGCAAGUCGAACGGAAAGGCCCUGCUUGCAGGGUACUCGAGUGGCGAACGGGUGAGUAACACGUGGGUGAUCUGCCCUGCACUUCGGGAUAAGCUUGGGAAACUGGGUCUAAUACCGGAUAGGAGCCAUCUUUAGUGUGGUGGUUGGAAAGUUUUUUCGGUGUAGGAUGAGCUCGCGGCCUAUCAGCUUGUUGGUGGGGUAAUGGCCUACCAAGGCGGCGACGGGUAGCCGGCCUGAGAGGGUGUACGGCCACAUUGGGACUGAGAUACGGCCCAGACUCCUACGGGAGGCAGCAGUGGGGAAUAUUGCACAAUGGGCGCAAGCCUGAUGCAGCGACGCCGCGUGGGGGAUGAAGGCCUUCGGGUUGUAAACUCCUUUCGCUAGGGACGAAGCUUUUUUGUGACGGUACCGAGAUAAGAAGCACCGGCUAACUACGU
rnacentral:rRNA from 1 species